rnacentral:rRNA from 1 species
AGCGAACGCUGGCGGCAGGCCUAACACAUGCAAGUCGAACGGAUCCUUCGGGAUUAGUGGCGGACGGGUGAGUAACACGUGGGAACGUGCCCUUUGGUUCGGAACAACUCAGGGAAACUUGAGCUAAUACCGGAUGUGCCCUUCGGGGGAAAGAUUUAUCGCCAUUGGAGCGGCCCGCGUCGGAUUAGCUAGUUGGUGAGGUAAAGGCCCACCAAGGCGACGAUCAGUAGCUGGUCUGAGAGGAUGAUCACCCACAUUGGGACUGAGACACGGCCCAAACUCCUACGGGAGGCAGCAGUGGGGAAUCUUGCGCAAUGGGCGAAAGCUUGACGCAGCCAUGCCGCGUGAAUGAUGAAGGUCUUAGGAUUGUAAAAUUCUUUCACCGGGGACGAUAAUGACGGUACCCGGAGAAGAAGCCCCGGCUAACUUCGUGCCAGCCGCCGCCGUAAUAC